ensembl:lincRNA
AUGGCAACGCUCUUCAUCAGGCUGGACGGUAUCUUCCUGGAGUUGGGCAGUGAGGAGCGGAAGAGGCUGCCUGCCUUCAACCGCACGCUGGCUCUGCUCCGCCAAGUCCUCAAGUCCUCAGAUGCCUGCCAGCGAGCUCUGGCCUGGUGCUACCUCGGGAUGCUGCUGGAGAGGAAGGACACCUUCUCCACCACCCCCAUGGGCGUCCACGACUGCGGGUACUCGGGGACUGACCCCCUGGACUGCUUUGGCAAGGCCAUCGAGAUUGCCAAGGACCAACCUCCCAUCCUCAAUCGCCUGGCCAAAAUCUUCCACUUCCUAGGAAAGCAAGACAUGGCCAUUGGAACCUGUAACAUGGCCCUGGAUGUCCUAGGAGACCCAGAGCUCAACUGGCAGGCAUACUGCACAAGGGCCAAGGUGGGUCUCCCUGCAGCACCCCGAUCCCGAGACCAAAGACCAGGGCCAAGACCCGGACCCCAGAGCCCAGAGACCCCGGAGCCUUCCUGGUGGGAGGGAGCAGAGGGCUCAUCCAGGCGCGCAGAGAUGCAGGCGCCGUUCCCACUGUAGGGGUCUCUAACUCAGCGCCUGGCCGGAGCCACCAGGAGAUUCUGGCUUAGCCCCGUGGAGUCAGAUUGACCAAAGUUGAGAUCUGGCUUCUCUACCCAUUGCUGGAAACCUGUUGCAGGCCACCUACCCCUCCGAACCUCAUUUCCCCAAUCUAAGACGUGGCUAAUCGCAGCUACCUUAGGUGGUGUCAGAGGCUUCCUGAGGUCACACUGAAGUCAGCGCCUAGGCAUGGGAGGGACAUGCAGCACUGCACACACAGCGCAUUAAUGUCGUGCACCGAGCUCUGGCCUCCCCCAGGCAGCCUCUGUCCAAACCCCACGCCACCACUCAUGUGUUAGGGGACCUUGCCAAAGUGCUCUCGCCCAAAGUCAGAGCCUCUGUUUCUUUAUCUGUGGUCUGGAGUGAGUGUCCCUCCCUUGGGAGUUUUCAGGAGAGUUGUGGGGUUGUGUGUGUAAAACCCAGCAUCACGUACACCCUGAGAAUUUGUAGGCGGCUGAUGGCUGUUACCAGGUAAAUCUUUAGCUGAUGAACUGCUGGCUACAGCCACUCGGCCCUGCCCUGAGUUACACACUCAGGAGAGCACUGCCUCCCUCCUGCCCUGCCCGCCAGGAUCUGCCUGGAGCCCCAUGGAGCCCAUCUGCCUGGGGCAGACCUGGGGCUCCGUGCUGACUGUGCUCCAAGCUAGCACGUCGUGCCUUUCCCUGUCUUCUCCACUGCCUUUCGCACAACCUAGUGGCAAAGCUGGUCCGUCCUUAGUCUCAGCAGAUUAUUUUGCCAAUAGGUAUAGGGCAGGAAACUCCUUUACUAUCGCUGAUUGGUGAUCGUUAUGAUAAAAAUACUAAUUAUACUAGUAAACCAUAAAACACUUAUGGAACUCUGCACUUCACCAAAACCUCCCUCUCACGCAUGGUCUGCUAGAACCUUCACAAAAAUCCCUUGAAGCAGCCAGACCCAUGCUAUCUGUAACUUCCACAGGGAGCAGGAACCCUAGCCUUAUUCUCCCCUGUGGCUCCAAAGGUCAGGCUCACCCCUCGCAUGGUCGGAGGAGGAGGAAUAGAGGAGGGAGGCAUGCGCAUACGAUACUCCACCCGCUAGCUCUGCCCACGUCUCUCUCUCCCAGCACUGCCUCUGCCCACAGUGUUCCUCUCCCAGAGAUCUCCGAUUCGUCUCCUCUCUAACUUCCUGCAGGGCUGACCAAAACUGGCAGUUCUGACCCAGGCCUUGUGGUAUAUGCUUGUCAUCCCAGCUGGUCAGGAGGCAGGAAGAUCGCAAAUUUGAGGCAAGCAAGAUUUUGUCUCCAAAACAAGGCAGCCUCUAGAGUCCAUCUCACUGACAAUAUCAGCAAUUCCCUUCCAGUACUUUGUUCUUGUUCUUUCCUUUUCUGUUAUUCUUAACACCAGUCAGCCCCCAUGUACUGUUUCCCUAUCUGUCGCGUUCACUGGCACUCUUCCCACUGAAGUACAAGACCCACGAAGGUGAGGGUUUCUGUUGUGUCACUCUGUCCCUGUUUGCUGCCGAGGAAUAAAUUGGCUUGGGUUAGGGCAGGGCAGAGGUGGCAGCCCCACCUGGAGCAACUUCCCUGAGCUGGCCCUCUGUCGCAGCAGAUCCACACCACAGCCUACCUGCGAGAUCUGGAGCGGGCCAAGGCAGGGCUUGGAGGCAUGCCCGAUCGGGGCCACCUGGCCCAAGCCAAGGCUGAUCUUGAGCGAGUGGUCAGGGUGUGCCCGGGCCUCAGGACCUACCUGGACAUUGGCCAGGUAAGCAGCUGAGCGGCCUGGCUGUCAGAGGGCUCACGAAGAACGCAUUGACCUGUCAGGCAGAGGUGGGGCAUCGAAGGCCCUGACAGGAAUGGGGUGCAGCUCCCCCAGCCUCUGGGGGGAAGGAAAUGCAGCAAUGUGUGGAGGAGUAGAGGAGGCCAGGUGCUCUGAGCACUUGGUAAGUAAAGAGCUGUAUUCUUUUUUUGGCGGGGUACGGGAGAUUGUACUCAGGACCUUGUGCUUGCAAGGCAGAUGCAGUGCCACUGAGCUAAAUCCCUGGUCCUAAAGAGCUGUAUUCUAUCCAGAAGUGCCACCUGUGCUGGGGGUGGGGGUGGGUGGUAAUAUCUAAUUUAGGUAUUAGGUCACUGAGGGGCGGAAGUAGACCCCCUGGAGGUUAUAUGUCUAGGAGUGGAGGCGCUGGACCUCAAAUACCAGUACUGUCUCUUUCCAGCGUCCAGAAACACGAUGUACAGUUAAUCCUGCACAGAGGAGGGGGUGGCUGCAUGAAUGCAGGCUUGGGGACUAACGACAGGGGUGGCGACUUGGAGCCUCAGCCCGCGCCACCCCCCUCCCCACACCAGGUCUACUAUUACAUGGGAGUGGACGCCGUGCAGGAGCUGCUGGCGGUGGACGAGGCGGCACUCAACCAGGCGCUGGUCUUCCUGGCCAAGGCCGGAGAGUC